AAAGUGGCGAACGGGUGAGUAACGCGUGAGCAACCUGCCUUACACAAAGGGAUAGCCUCGGGAAACCGUGAUUAAUACCAUAUGAGACUUUAGAGACGAAUGUAUCAGAAGUUAAAGAUUUAUCGGUGUAAGAUGGGCUCGCGUCUGAUUAGCUAGUUGGUGAGAUAAAAGCUCACCAAGGCGACGAUCAGUAACCGGCUUGAGAGAGUGAACGGUCACAUUGGAACUGAGACACGGUCCAA
rnacentral:rRNA from 1 species